UUCCCUAUUUCAACCUUUUUCGAAACACAAUCCAAACAAUUAACCAUGUUAUUUAAUCAAGCAUGAAACCAUACGUAUCAAAAUAAACAAGCCAUUUUCGCAUGGCUCAUUAUACAUAUAUGCAUCAUUCAAAAUUUAUUCCAAAAAGUAGUAUAGACUAUACAUGCCAUAAGUUUAAGUUUAACUUUUAUAGAUACCGAUAACGGGCGAUAGUGUGAUUGAUUUCGUUGAAGAUCUCCGAUCCCGCAACUAACUUCCAAAAUCUAUAAAACCGAGGCAAACACAUAUGCAUGGUAAGCUAUCAAAGCUUAGUAAGUCAUAAGCAAAUAAAUAAUUCAAUGUUAUUAAUAGUUCAGAAUCACAUAACCGAAUUAUUCAAUUCAUAUUCAUAUAUAUAUAUAAGCAUAAAAAAAUCAUAAUUUUGAUAUCACAUACCCUUACCAUUUGGCCAAAGAUAGUCUUUAAUACACACACACAUACUUUCAUUUGCAUCAUCUAAUUUGUAUCACAAAUGAAAUAACCAACUUACCUUGAUAUCAUAUAUUAUUUAACUAUUACAUACUUGUAAUAUCAUGUACUUAUAUGUCACAUUCAUCAUUCAUUGGGUUCGCACAAUUUGUGCUAAAUAAUUUGUCGAAGCUAAUAAUGACGUUGCACAAGUAGUGCUCUCUUUUAUUUAACCAAAUUGAUCUUGGUAUCUCACACUUAGUGCUCGUUAUUCGACAUCGUCAUUUUUGUUUCGCACAUUUAAUGCUCGUUAUUCAACAUCGUCAUUUGAAUUUCGCACACUUAGUGCCAUUCGUAUAGCCAUAGCUAUUCCAUACUCGCACACUCAGUGCUAAAUAUCAGUAAAUCACAUCCACGUCUAUUUCUGUUACCCGAACUUAAACACAUUCAGCUAGAUAUAUAUAUUUGCAUGUUUUCAUUUCAGCAUAUAUAUAACUAAUAUUUAUUUAGAAUUUAUAUCAUCUAUUUGCUUAUAAACUUACCUCGGACAACGAUAAACCGGAAUGGAACGAUUAAUCGACGACUUUUGUUUUCUCCCGAUCCAAGUCCGAUUUCUUUAAUUAUUGAUUUGUGAGGAGAAAAGCUUGCUGAAAUUUUUGAGCUCUCAAACCCCUAUUUUGCUGCUAAUUUUCGGU
rnacentral:lncRNA from 1 species